UCCAAAAUGCACUGGACUAGAUGCUAAGUGGAGCAACAUUGUGGCAAGCAGUGACUUUCCAGUACUCAAUGGAACAAAGGUUAUUCUCCGAUGUGAGGAUGGAUACCAUCAAUUUGGGGACAGUGAAAUCACAUGUCAUCAAUAUACGCAGUUCUAUUUUGUGACUGAGCCUAAGUGUUCAUUAACGACACCUGAUGCAGAUUUUAGUCUGAUAGAUUGGAAAGGUAGAGACGUUGGUGUGGGAGUACGAGGAUUACUGAUAGUCAAUGAGGGAACAGUUUGUAAUGAUGAUUUCAGCAACAACUCUGCCAAUGCUAUUUGUCGUAGGAUGGGGUACAGUGGUCAAAUUAGUUGGACUUCUACUGACAAAUGGAAAAUGCAAGAUGAUCGCACCAUUGCUAUGGAUGAUGUAUUUUGUAACAGUGGUGAAUGGAGUUCAUGCUCUUAUUCAUGGUCUCACAACUGUGAUCACAGUAAAGAUGUAUUUCUUCAGUGCCAGGGAAUCGAGCAUGAUACCUGGAAUCCCGUGAUACGAGAAAGAUUCCUCGAUGCUAACUUGGAGACUUCGUAUCUGCAUAUGACAACUUCGAUUAGUUUUGUAGGAAAUAGACAAAACAUUAAGAUAUGGUUUUAUGAUACAGACCUAUACCAGGCUGGAUCAUUCUAUAUCUGGUUUGUAUCCACCUACUCGGUUAAGUACCUGAUAGGGGAGUGUAUGCGUUACUACACCAGUUUCCCAGUAAGUUUACCUGCAGACCAACAAAGGACCUGGAUGAUCAGUAAGCGAGGCAAAACAAUAAAAGUAUACUGCAAUGGGAAAAUGGUUUUAGAAGUGGCUGCGUCCUCGGAGAUAUGCGACAAUCCAGAAUAUAGUACCACAUGGGCUACAUAUUACGGACGAGAAGCAAACACAAUCUAUUUACCAAUUACCCAUACAGCAUCUGACUCAUAUUACAUAGGAGCUGAAGUUCCAGAAAAGAAGUAGCUGUUGGAGUACUCAAACAUAUUUUCUGAUUGUUGACAAUUUCAGAAUUUCUACUUAUACUUGAGGAGAAAUUGAACGUUUUACACUACGUUUUACUUUUAGGUAUUUUAAAAAGUGAUUCCAAAAGAACUGUAUCAAAAACAAACAAAAAAGUAACUCGACUUACUCUUCGACUUAGGGCGGCUUCAACGUCCGAACAGAGAUAGUUUUUUUCCAAAUCUGUCUAUCCAGCAUGAGUUUGUUAAUCUCCUUGCUGUCGUCAAGCCACAUGUCAAUAUAUGUGAGGUGUGGUCUUCGAUCCCAUACGACGAUGUCCUUGAAGGGGUUCCCAGAAGAGAAGUUGAUGACUCAGAAGUUCUUCAUGUCUGGCUAGAUGACCUGCAAGUCUCAUCCUCCGUUCAGCUAUCUUAUCAGAUGCUCUGAUGAGGUGUCCAUAUACCUUGGCGUUAGUCUGCCGCUCUUUCCAGUUAAGUGCCAUCCUCAGCAUUCUCGUAUAAAAUCCAUCAAUACGUUUUACGAGGGUCUGGCUGAAAGUCCAUGUUUCAGAGCCAUACAGUAGGAUGGACUCAACUGUAGCCAGGAACAGUCGUAUCUUGAGAUCUCUACGCGUAUCCGACUUCCGUACAAGCUUCAUCUGGUGACACGCUCCCCAUGCCUUAGUUUUCCUCACUUCGAAGUCCUUCUCCGAAGUUGGCGGCCAGUUCCAGACUCCUGAGGAAAUCUUGUGCCUCCGCAACACUAUCUGUCAUAAGAGCAAGGUCGUCAGCAAAGUCGGCAUCAGUGACCUUGACAGCCGGAUAGCGUCAGUAACCAUUUUAGUUAUUUUGCUGUACCGAUCUGUGAUCUGGAAGCCUUUUAUUUUCUGUCGUACGAAGAUAGGCUGCCAUACAUCCCUGGUUGAAGUGAUUUAACCGACCCUGCCCGGUGCCCCUCGUUAAGUCAUUACGAAGCAGUGGACAGAUCGCUGGAAAGUUGCGUUAUAUUUGUACCUACGAUUUGUUAUCUUUCACAGUAUUAGUAACUCGCUCCAACCAAAGUUUUAGUUUUACUAGCCUGUCACGUG